AUGGGUGGAAAUCGGAGAAUAGUGCCAGAACAGCCGUUGCACAAAUAUGAGAAAUCAAGGGUGGUGGAUGGUGGAAAGUAUCGAGUUGUUCUAGUUCCUGGCCUUGGUGGUUGGCCCAUGCCCGAGGGAUACUAUGGCGCAUCUCUUUCUGCGGGAACUAAACAAGUUGCCAAUAAUAAUAGAUAUCCCAUAAUACUUGAGGGCAAAUCCGGGACGGGAUAUUCCUCGAUUACAGAGGCAGCAGUUGCGGGCUCAGGUGUGGCUAAAUCUACAUCAAUAGCAGGAUCAGGAUACGAUGCUUACUCGAAAUCAAUAUUCCCCGGUUUCUUACGAGAUAAGAUAUGUAUGCCGGUCCAACUAAAGGAAGGGUGGUUUUGA
rnacentral:rRNA from 1 species